GGCAACAAAAUUACAAACACUCCGAAGACGAGCGACACAAUAAGUGCAAGAGGCAUGUGAUGUAGAAUCAGGUCGAGAACGAAAUUCGAAUUGUCGUAAAGGCUGGGUACGGUUAAACCCACAUAAAGAGCAAGGUUGUGACGAUAGGAGGGAAGUAGAAUGAAGCGGGUUGAUGAUCAAGGAUGAUUCUAAUAUAGCAGUGAACACAGAUCGACGUGUUAGCCAUGAUAAACCUGAAGCAUGAUCUAACCGUAAAGUGGGUUCAAUGUCUUCUUCUAAACAACGUUUAAAAAAGGAGAAGUCACGUAGAUUUCUUGAUAUUAAAGGAAUUGAGUUAGAAGAAGAACUAGGAUUUUGCGAUAGAGUGGAUGAUCUUGCAGUAGAUGGUGUAACAGUGUUACGUGGAGGAGUGUUAGAAUAAUUUGCUGAUGUUGAAUAUGCACUUCUUGAUCUCGCAAACUUCAUAGGAUAAUUAAAAAAGGCAUGAAAUUCAAGAAAACACGGAUUCAUAUAAUUCAUGGCAGAGGCGGAAGGGUGAGUUGGGUGGGGAUUAUGAAUAAUAGAUGACGAAGGGGAAUCUGAAAUAAUUAAAGGGGAUCUAGGAGGAGAUGUACUGCUAGAUCGAAUCUGAGUAGAAAAUCGAAUUAACUGGUUUUGAUUGUUAUUUGUGCGAUGACCGAGACUUGAAGCUGAUCGACGUUCGUCGGAACCCUCGAUAAAAGUUGGAUUGGGAAAUGUAGCUGGCCUUUCUCCUGAUAUAUUCAAAUGUUUAUCACUUGAAAUUUCUUUAGCAUCUAAAGAUUCACGAGCACUCGUUCCAGUUAGAAUGUCAAGUCCACUAGUUGAUGAAGCAAAACUACCAACAGAUACAUUAUCGGCAACGAAAGAGGUGGUCCUUGAAAGUGGUGGAUGCAAGGCAUUAUUUUGUUCGUGUGAGUCGG